rnacentral:rRNA from 1 species
GACGAGGGGGGCUAGCGUUGUUCGGAAUCACUGGGCGUAAAGCGCGCGUAGGCGGACCGUUAAGUCGGAGGUGAAAGCCUGGAGCUCAACUCCAGAACUGCCUUCGAUACUGGCGGUCUCGAGUCCGGAAGAGGUGAGUGGAACUGCCAGUGUAGAGGUGAAAUUCGUAGAUAUUGGCAAGAACACCAGUGGCGAAGGCGGCUCACUGGUCCGGUACUGACGCUGAGGUGCGAAGGCGUGGGGAGCAAACAGG